AGAGUUUGAUCCUGGCUCAGAUUGAACGCUGGCGGCAUGCUUUACACAUGCAAGUCGAGCGGCAGCGCGGGGGCAACCCUGGCGGCGAGCGGCGAACGGGUGAGGAAUACAUCGGAACGUACCCCGGAGUGGGGGAUAACCCAGCGAAAGUUGGGCUAAUACCGCAUAUGCUCUGAGGAGGAAAGUGGGGGACUCGCAAGGGCCUCACGCUCUGGGAGCGGCCGAUGUCCGAUUAGCUUGUUGGUGGGGUAAUGGCCUACCAAGGCGACGAUCGGUAGCUGGUCUGAGAGGAUGAUCAGCCACACUGGGACUGAGACACGGCCCAGACUCCUACGGGAGGCAGCAGUGGGGAAUUUUGGACAAUGGGGGCAACCCUGAUCCAGCCAUGCCGCGUGCGGGAAGAAGGCCUUCGGGUUGUAAACCGCUUUUGGCCGGGAAGAAAAGGCGCCACCUAAUACGGGGCGUUCUUGACGGUACCGGCAGAAUAAGCACCGGCUAACUACGUGCCAGCAGCCGCGGUAAUACGUAGGGUGCGAGCGUUAAUCGGAAUUACUGGGCGUAAAGCGUGCGCAGGCGGUUUGUUAAGUCUGAUGUGAAAGCCCCGGGCUCAACCUGGGAAUGGCAUUGGAAACUGGCAAGCUCGAGUUUGGCAGAGGGGGGUGGAAUUCCGCGUGUAGCAGUGAAAUGCGUAGAGAUGCGGAGGAACACCGAUGGCGAAGGCAGCCCCCUGGGCUAAGACUGACGCUCAGGCACGAAAGCGUGGGGAGCAAACAGGAUUAGAUACCCNNGUAGUCC
rnacentral:rRNA from 1 species